rnacentral:ncRNA from 1 species
GAUCAAGCUACAAAGGGCGCACGGUGAAUGCCCUGGCACUAGGAGCCGAUGAAGGACGUGAUAAGCUGCGAUAAGCUACAUGUAGGCGCACAUAGCCUGUGAUAUGUAGAUUUCCGAAUGGGGAAACCCAUCUAGUUAUGCUAGAUACUGUAUACUGAAUUCAUAGGUAUAUGGAGGUACACCUGGGGAACUGAAACAUCUAAGUACCCAGAGGAAGAGAAAGAAAAUUCGAUUCCCUAAGUAGCGGCGAGCGAAAGGGGAAGAGCCCAAACCAGGAACUUGUUCCUGGGGUUGCGGAUAGAUCAUAACGCUUUGAUUUCUUUAGUUGAAGAGAACUGGAAAGUUCCGUCGUAGAAGGUAAUAACCCUGUAGGCGAAAAGGAAAGAAAAGUAGAUCUACUCCAGAGUACCACGAGACACGUGAAACCUUGUGGGAAGCUGGGAGGACCAUCUCCCAAGGCUAAAUACUACCUAGUGACCGAUAGUGAAGCAGUACCGUGAGGGAAAGGUGAAAAGAACCCCGGAAGGGGAGUGAAAUAGAAUCUGAAACCGUGUGCCUACAAUCGGUCGGAGCACAUUAAAGUGUGACGGCGUACUUUUUGUAGAACGGGCCAGCGAGUUACGAUAUAUAGCAAGGUUAAGCACUUAUGGUGUGGAGCCGAAGGGAAACCGAGUCUGAAUAGGGCAACUAGUUGUAUAUUGUAGACCCGAAACCGGGUGACCUAUCCAUGGCCAGGAUGAAGCG